rnacentral:snRNA from 3 species
GUGCUUGCUUGGGCAGCACAUAUACUAAAAUUGGAACGAUACAGAGAAGAUGGCCCCCGAGCAAGGAUCACAUGCAAAUUCAUGAAGUGUUUCAUAUUUUU